rnacentral:rRNA from 1 species
UACGUAGGUGACAAGCGUUAUCCGGAAUUACUGGGCGUAAAGCGCACGCAGGCGGCGCGGUAAGUCUGAUGUGAAAUCUCCCGGCUUAACUGGGAGGGGUCAUUGGAAACUGCCGAGCUUGAGGCGAUGAGAGGGGUGUAGAAUUCCCGGUGUAGUGGUGGAAUGCGUAGAGAUCGGGAGGAACACCAGUGGCGAAGGCGGCGACCUGGACCUGUGCUGACGCUGAGGCGCGAAAGCGUGGGGAGCGAGCCGG